rnacentral:rRNA from 1 species
GACGAACCGUGCAACCGUUAUUCGGAAUCACUGGGCUUAAAGGGCGCGUAGGCGGGUCAGAUAGUCUGCGGUGAAAUCCUCCAGCUUAACUGGAGAACUGCCGUGGAUACUGCUGACCUCGAGGAGGGUAGGGGCAUCUGGAACAGCCGGUGGAGCGGUGAAAUGCGUUGAUAUCGGCUGGAACUCCGGUGGCGAAGGCGAGAUGCUGGACCCUUUCUGACGCUGAGGCGCGAAAGCCAGGGGAGCGAACGGG